GUAGGGAAUAUUGGGCAAUGGUCGGAAGACUGACCCAGCCAUGCCGCGUGCAGGAAGACGGCCCUCUGGGUUGUAAACUGCUUUUAUCUGGGAAGAAAAAGGCCAUGCGUGGCAAAUUGCCGGUACCAGAUGAAUAAGCACCGGCUAACUCCGUGCCAGCAGCCGCGGUAAUACGGAGGGUGCGAGCGUUGUCCGGAUUUAUUGGGUUUAAAGGGUGCGUAGGCGGCGGAUUAAGUCAGCGGUGAAAGACUUCGGCUUAACCGGAGCAGUGCCGUUGAUACUGGUUCGCUUGAGAGUCGGAGGGGUACAGGGAAUUGAUGGUGUAGCGGUGAAAUGCAUAGAUACCAUCAGGAACACCGAUAGCGAAGGCAUUGUACUGGCCGACAACUGACGCUGAUGCACGAAAGUGUGGGGAUCGAACAGGAUUAGAUACCCUGGUAGUCC
rnacentral:rRNA from 1 species